ACGUACACUCCUACGGGAGGCAGCAGUGGGGAAUUUUGGACAAUGGGCGAAAGCCUGAUCCAGCCAUGCCGCGUGCAGGAUGAAGGCCUUCGGGUUGUAAACUGCUUUUGUACGGAACGAAACGGCCUUUUCUAAUAAAGAGGGCUAAUGACGGUACCGUAAGAAUAAGCACCGGCUAACUACGUGCCAGCAGCCGCGGUAAUACGUAGGGUGCAAGCGUUAAUCGGAAUUACUGGGCGUAAAGCGUGCGCAGGCGGUUAUGUAAGACAGUUGUGAAAUUCCCGGGCUCAACCUGGGAACUGCAUCUGUGACUGCAUAGCUAGAGUACGGUAGAGGGGGAUGGAAUUCCGCGUGGAGCAGUGAAAUGCGUAGAUAUGCGGAGGAACACCGAUGGCGAAGGCAAUCCCCUGGACCUGUACUGGCGCUCAUGCACGAAAGCGUGGGGAGCAAACAGGAUUAGAAACCCCUGUAGUCCC
rnacentral:rRNA from 1 species